rnacentral:rRNA from 1 species
AACGUACGCUGGCGGCACGCCUAACACAUGCAAGUCGAACGAAGUAGCAAUACUUAGUGGCAGACGGGUGAGUAACAUGUAGGUAUCUGCCCUUUGGCCUGGAAUAACACGAGGAAACUUGUGCUAAUACCGGAUAAGUCUUUACGGAGAAAGCUUUAUGCACCAUUGGAUGAGCCUGCACUUGAUUAGUUUGUUGGUAGGGUAAUGGCCUACCAAGACUGUGAUCAAUAGCUGAUUUGAGAGGAUGAUCAGCCACAUUGGGACUGAGACACGGCCCAAACUCCUACGGGAGGCAGCAGUGGGGAAUCUUGCACAAUGGAGGAAACUCUGAUGCAGCGAUGCCGCGUGAGUGAAGAAGGCCUUUGGGUUGUAAAGCUCUUUCGUCGGGGAAGAAAAUGACUGUACCCGAAUAAGAAGGUCCGGCUAACUUCGUGCCAGCAGCCGCGGUAAUACGAAGGGACCUAGCGUAGUUCGGAAUUACUGGGCUUAAAGAGUUCGUAGGUGGUUGAAAAAGUUAGUGGUGAAAUCCCAGAGCUUAACUCUGGAACUGCCAUUAAAACUUUUUAGCUAGAGUAUGAUAGAGGAAAGCAGAAUUUCUAGUGUAGAGGUGAAAUUCGUAGAUAUUAGAAAGAAUACCAAUUGCGAAGGCAGCUUUCUGGAUCAUUACUGACACUGAGGAACGAAAGCAUGGGUAGCGAAGAGGAUUAGAUACCCUCGUAGUCCAUGCCGUAAACGAUGUGUGUUAGACGUUGGAAAUUUAUUUUCAGUGUCGCAGGGAAACCGAUAAACACACCGCCUGGGGAGUACGACCGCAAGGUUAAAACUCAAAUGAAUUGACGGGGACCCGCACAAGUAGUGGAGCAUGUGGUUUAAUUCGAAGAUACGCGCAGAACCUUACCAACACUUGACAUGUUCGUCGCGACUCUAAGAGAUUAGAGUUUUCGGUUCGGCCGGACGAAACACAGGUGCUGCAUGGCUGUCGUCAGCUCGUGUCGUGAGAUGUUGGGUUAAGUCCCGCAACGAGCGCAACCCUCACUUUUAGUUGCCAUCAUUAAGUUGGGCACUCUGAAAGAACUGCCAGUGAUAAGCUGGAGGAAGGUGGGGAUGACGUCAAGUCCUCAUGGCCCUUACGUGUUGGGCUACACACGUGCUACAAUGGUAUCUACAACAGGAAGCAAGACUGCGAAGUUAAGCAAAUCCCUAAAAGAUACCUCAGUUCGGAUUGCACUCUGCAACUCGAGUGCAUGAAGCUGGAAUUACUAGUAAUCGUGGAUCAGCGUGCCACGGUGAAUGCGUUCCCGGGUCU